rnacentral:rRNA from 1 species
AUUGAACGCUGGCGGCAGGCCUAACACAUGCAAGUCGAGCGGAUGAAGGGAGCUUGCUCCUGGAUUCAGCGGCGGACGGGUGAGUAAUGCCGAGGAAUCGGCCUGGGAGUGGGGGAUAACGUCCGGAAACGGGCGCUAAUACCGCAUACGUCCUGAGGGAGAAAGUGGGGGAUCUUCGGACCUCACGCUAUCAGAUGAGCCUAGGUCGGAUUAGCUAGUUGGUGGGGUAAAGGCCUACCAAGCCGACGAUCCGUAACUGGUCUGAGAGGAUGAUCAGUCACACUGGAACUGAGACACGGUCCAGACUCCUACGGGAGGCAGCAGUGGGGAAUAUUGGACAAUGGGCGAAAGCCUGAUCCAGCCAUGCCGCGUGUGUGAAGAAGGUCUUCGGAUUGUAAAGCACUUUAAGUUGGGAGGAAGGGCAGUAAGUUAAUACCUUGCUGUUUUGACGUUACCAACAGAAUAAGCACCGGCUAACUUCGUG